GGCUUGACGAGGCAUGGUCUGUCUUGGAUGGUGAUUUGUUUAAUUGAAUUUGGUUUUUGAGUUAAAAUUCUUAAAUGUUUUUAUGGGACGAGAAGACCCUAUAGAGUUUACAUUCGGUGUUUAGCUUGUUUGGUUUGUUUUUAUUGAUGCUUUGUUUCGUUUGUUUUGUUGGGGUGAUGGGAGGAAUUUUCUUAACUCCUCUUUAUUUUUGGAUAUUUAUUUGUAUAUGUUUUGAUCCAUUUAUUUUGAUUAUAAGAUUAAAUUACC
rnacentral:rRNA from 1 species